CAUGCAGUGGCGGGAAAAUAUUUCCAAUGCGGUUUCUUUUGGUGUGUCCACUGGCAGGAGUGAUUUAUGCUCACUUUGUGGGAUUCUGUUAUACAAGCCGAGGAUGCCGAACAACAUCAGGCAAAGGGACUGCUGAUAAAGGCCUUUCAGAUAACUCGGACUUCAGGAGUUCAGUAGCUUAAUUCUGUGGGCAUUUCCAACACACUUCAGUUUGAAGUUUCGGGUGAAGUGUCAUUCAGAGACAGUAAGGCUGACCUCAUCAAGUAUUUUCCUACAAAAUACAAAGGCAACAUUGAAAAUAUGCAGAUUUAAUGUGUAAUUUCUUUAUUAUGCAUUAUAAUGCAGUGCAGCUGAGGUGAAUAGCCGUGUGAAGAUCUGUGCAACACUAUGAUAAGUGCACUGAAUACUGUAUCAUUAUACCUUUUUUUAACAUAAAAUAAUGAUUAAACACAAUAAGCUACUGUAUGACCAAACGCAAUACAAUUCAACAAUAGGCUGUUGCUUAACAAAACACUGCAGUUGCUACGCGACUCAAACAGGAGGGU